CCUACGGGAGGCAGCAGUGGGGAAUAUUGGACAAUGGGGGAAACCCUGAUCCAGCGACGCCGCGUGUGUGAAGAAGGCCUGCGGGUUGUAAAGCACUUUUAGUGGGGAGGAAAUGCUCAGACCUAACACGUCUGGGAGCUGACUUAACCCAAAGAAAAAGCACCGGCUAACUCUGUGCCAGCAGCCGCGGUAAUACAGAGGGUGCGAGCGUUAAUCGGAAUUACUGGGCGUAAAGCGUGCGUAGACGGUUCUGUAAGUCGGAUGUGAAAUCCCCGGGCUCAACCUGGGAAUUGCAUUCGAAACUGCAGAGCUAGGGUACGGUAGAGGGAAGCGGAAUUUCCGGUGUAGCGGUGAAAUGCGUAGAUAUCGGAAGGAACAUCAGUGGCGAAAGCGGCUUCCUGGACCAGUACCGACGUUCAGGCACGAAAGCGUGGGGAGCAAACAGGAUUAGAUACCCUGGUAGUCCACGCCAUAAACGAUGAGGACUAGACGUUGGGGGCUAUAAGCUCUCAGUGUCGUAGCUAACGCGCUAAGUCCUCCGCCUGGGGAGUACGGCGCAGUUGAACUCAAUGAAUUGACGG
rnacentral:rRNA from 1 species